UAGAGCAGCUGACUCUUAAUCAGCGGGUCCGGGGUUCGAGUCCCUGGCGGCGCA
rnacentral:tRNA from 1 species